UGGGGGAAUUUUGGACAAUGGGCGAAAGCCUGAUCCAGCAAUGCCGCGUGUGUGAAGAAGGCCUUCGGGUUGUAAAGCACUUUUGUCCGGAAAGAAAUCCUUGGCUCUAAUACAGUCGGGGGAUGACGGUACCGGAAGAAUAAGCACCGGCUAACUACGUGCCAGCAGCCGCGGUAAUACGUAGGGUGCAAGCGUUAAUCGGAAUUACUGGGCGUAAAGCGUGCGCAGGCGGUUUGCUAAGACCGAUGUGAAAUCCCCGGGCUCAACCUGGGAACUGCAUUGGUGACUGGCAGGCUAGAGUAUGGCAGAGGGGGGUAGAAUUCCACGUGUAGCAGUGAAAUGCGUAGAGAUGUGGAGGAAUACCGAUGGCGAAGGCAGCCCCCUGGGCCAAUACUGACGCUCAUGCACGAAAGCGUGGGGAGCAAACAGGAUUAGAUACCCUGGUAGUCCACGCCCUAAACGAUGUCAACUAGUUGUUGGGGAUUCAUUUCCUUA
rnacentral:rRNA from 1 species